rnacentral:misc_RNA from 1 species
UAGCAAAUGUGACUCUGUUGG